AAAGUUGGAAAUUUCGGAUUUUUCGUCGGAUUCGUCGUCAAUUUUUUCGAAGGCGAUUUCUCGGUGGUACUAUUUCUGGACGUUCUUGAUCGAAUUUUCUUCAUCGUCGGUAAAGGCAAGUGAAUGUAUUGUAUGACUAUGCUUUAACCUAAUAUUGGGUUGCCUACAUUCUUUAAUUACAGUGCAUUCAUCUAAUCUGAAUGACUGAUUCUGAGCUGGGUACUAUGUUGUUUACUUUUCCAGAAGUUUACUCGAUGAUUGAUUUAUGAAGUGCAGUAAGUACGAUAUGCCAUUCUGCAGUUGUUCAUUAUUAUUUUAUGCAAUGUUUUUUUAAGUCUCAAGCAUUUUUCGGGAGUUAUGUUGGAUAUGCUUGAAGCACGUCAUACAUAUACAUCUCAUGUAUUGGAAGUUUGUCGUCGUCUUCUGGCCGCGACCGUACCGGUACAGUACCGUAUGUCACCCGAGGAGGGAUACGGUGCACACCCUUACGUUACCCGAGGAGGGGUAAGGGUGAGGAGAGCAUAUCAUGUGCAUGGUUAUGUCUUCUUAUGAAAUUCAAUGAAUCAUUCGCAUCAAAUCUGAUUUCCUUUAGUUAGCUUGUAUAUAGAUAUAUAUGCGGCUCUGAAGGAUUAUACCAACCGAAUGUUAAAAUGUUUAAUGUUAUCGUUAGACUUGCUUAGUCAUAAUUAUUUCUCCUAGUGUUGGCGGUCUGUUUCAUUACUAGUUUCUAUUUAGAAUUGUUAGCACAUUCAACUGUGGCUAAAUAGCUUUUUGUUAAAGUACCUUUCACUUGCUGAGAUUUUCGAAUCUCACCCGUGCUUUCUUUACAGGUAUGUUUAGAUAUUGACGUGCAUUUUGGGGAUGGAUCUUGGUAGCUGCACACACUACCUCAUCACCAUGUUGAUAGCUCAACCGGUGUUAUAAAUGGUGUUUUUGGUGGUCUGUCGUUUGCUUGGUUCAUGUUGUGGCAGACGCUGGUAGCGUCAUAACGGUUUCUAUAUAUGCUGGUUAUAUCUGA